rnacentral:rRNA from 1 species
GGGGGAUAUUGCACAAUGGAGGAAACUCUGAUGCAGCGACGCCGCGUGAGGGAAGAAGGUCUUCGGAUUGUAAACCUUUGUCCUUGGUGACGAUAAUGACGGUAGCCAAGGAGGAAGCUCCGGCUAACUACGUGCCAGCAGCCGCGGUAAUACGUAGGGAGCGAGCGUUGUCCGGAUUUACUGGGUGUAAAGGGUGCGUAGGCGGCUCUGCAAGUCAGGUGUGAAAACCAUCGGCUUAACUGAUGGACUGCAUUUGAAACUGUGGGGCUUGAGUGGAGUAGAGGCAGACGGAAUUCCCGGUGUAGCGGUGAAAUGCGUAGAGAUCGGGAAGAACACCAGUGGCGAAGGCGGUCUGCUGGGCUCUAACUGACGCUGAGGCACGAAAGCAUGGGGAGCAAAC